CUCCCGGCCUCAAAGCAAAGCCCAGAACUAGCUGGGCCAUCUUGAUGUUUUCGGCAGCGCAGGCCUCCGUCUGUCAGGCCCAACCACCGCUCCACCUCAUCCCCCUCGUCGGCGACGCGGCCCCGCCGGCAGAAGACCGCGGCGCAGCUUCCGUCCGCUCGCCGCUCGCCGCUCGCCGCCCGAGUAGUGGCAGGCACCGCGAGCGCGAGGUAUUUGUCCUGUCCACGUCGCUACUUUACGGAACGGCUCCGCUACGUACGCAUUCUCUCCCUCCCGGGCGGCACGGCGUCGUGUGUCCGGUGGCAAACUAAUUGUGGCCGUGCCCGUGCGCGGCCGCUCGCCGGCGCCGCCGUGGCUGUACUUAUUCCUUGCUUCUUCACGGGCCGGGCAGGAGAAAGCAGUACUAGCUGGUUGCGGUGCCAACUUAACUGGCGUGGAAAGUGGAAACCAGACAUUGCCUGCAGUAGUUCCUGAGUACUGCUUGUCAUAGUCCAUUGCUUUGGACUGCAAUACGGCCGCCGAUUUACUUGGAUGGCGCGGUUAGUUUCUGCUUUAUUCUCGAGCUGCACAUCUGAAGAGCCACACAUUUUUUAGGUAGGGAGUAUUGUUUAUCUCCAGCUGCUUUAUUCUUAAAUACUAGACUAGAAAGGCUAAUAUUUGGGUCCGUUUAUGGUUGCAUAUCCGUUGAUUAUGUAUUGUUAACAAUAAAACCAAACAAAUACUGUUUCUAUGAGAAGUGGGGAAAAUUUUGUACCACAAUUACCAUUUUUGGUUUUUGCAAUCAAAGAAAUAAAUUAAACA